CCGCAACCAAGUCAAGCUAUAUUGAAGACCUUCAAGAUUGGGUUCCAAUCAUUCAGUAAAAUUGUGGAGACUAAGACUAUGAGGGUUACCAUAGUUCUGACUAUGCUCUUGUUGCUUAUUGGCCAAAGCUCUGCAAGCUACAAAGACUGCUUUCCAUGUUGCUUUCCUAAUUGCAGGUCUCGGGGUAAUGGGAAGAUAUAUUGCAAUUAGUUAUGCUUCUUUGAGUACAUUUCUGUACCUACACCAGUAUUUCCCCGAGCCCCACCUCAGGCUGAGUCUAACUGCAGCUCUGAGUGUGCUAAGUCCGCAUGUGCUCAUCAUGACCCAGAAGGGAAGGAUGGGAGGCCUGCGUUGAUGAUCGUGUGAAGAAAUGCACUACUUAGCAGCAAGGAUCUUUUUAAAGGAAGCAUAUUAUAUAAAUCUAUAAAUAUAUGUUAAUAAGCCUUCAGUUGUGUGACUGUAUCUAAAGAAUGAUAAAUAAUGGACAACUACUACCUUUUAGUAAUGUUCAGAAAUCUUUCUUAUGAAUUAUCUCUGUGUGUGAAAUUUAUGUGUAACUAAUGAUAUAAUUAGUUGUCAUAAUGUUGGCUGCCUGUUUCAAGCUAAUUUCAACAAUAUGGCUUAGCUUACAUUUGGUUA